rnacentral:rRNA from 1 species
AGUGAACGCUGGCGGUAGGCCUAACACAUGCAAGUCGAGCGGCAGCACAGUAAGAGCUUGCUCUUACGGGUGGCGAGUGGCGGACGGGUGAGGAAUACAUCGGAAUCUACUUUUUCGUGGGGGAUAACGUAGGGAAACUUACGCUAAUACCGCAUACGACCUACGGGUGAAAGCAGGGGAUCUUCGGACCUUGCGCGAUUGAAUGAGCCGAUGUCGGAUUAGCUAGUUGGCGGGGUAAAGGCCCACCAAGGCGACGAUCCGUAGCUGGUCUGAGAGGAUGAUCAGCCACACUGGAACUGAGACACGGUCCAGACUCCUACGGGAGGCAGCAGUGGGGAAUAUUGGACAAUGGGCGAAAGCCUGAUCCAGCCAUGCCGCGUGGGUGAAGAAGGCCUUCGGGUUGUAAAGCCCUUUUGUUGGGAAAGAAAAGCAGCAGGUUAAUACCCCGCUGUUCUGACGGUACCCAAAGAAUAAGCACCGGCUAACUUCGUG